rnacentral:rRNA from 1 species
CAGCAGUCGCCGCGGGAAUACGAAGGGUGCAAGCGUUAAUCGGAAUUACUGGGCGUAAAGCGUGCGUAGGCGGUGAGUUAAGUCUGCUGUGAAAUCCCCGGGCUCAACCUGGGAAUGGCAGUGGAUACUGGGUCACUAGAGUGUGGUAGAGGAUAGUGGAAUUUCCGGUGUAGCAGUGAAAUGCGUAGAGAUCGGAAGGAACAUCUGUGGCGAAGGCGACUAUCUGGGCCAACACUGACACUGAGGCACGAAAGCGUGGGGAGCAAACAGGAUUAGAUACCCCUGUAGUCCCUGUCUCUUAUAC